GGGUUCUAAAACACGUGGUUAGCUUUGCUCCUUUUUUUCCCCUUUCUUUUGCCUUGUAUUCUUCCUUUUUUUGACAUAUUUGUAUCUUGAUUUUGCUAUUGGCCAAAAAGCAUUAAAAAGGAUUUAAUAAAUUUUAGAAAGUUUCUUUGAACUUUUCCCGAUCUAAUGCCUUUAUAAGAAAUUGUAUCUUGAUUUUGCUCUUUCCCAAAAAAACAUUAAAAAGGAUUUACUAACAAAUUUUAUAAGUUUUUUGGACCCACGUAGUAGUUCCAGAAACCCUAUCUCGACAUCAUCUCCUUCAAAUCCCAAAGGGUUGCCGUCUCUUCUCUCGCCGAUCCCUUCUCGCUCUCCAAAACAAGGAGUAUGGUUGGAAGAAUUAAAUCCAAAAACAAGGAAAUCUGAUUUUCUGUCCAUGCUUUCUUGAGAGACCGAGGCUGUCAAGAGAAGAUCAUUAUCAAGAAAAAUUGGGUAAUGCUUUGUUUUGUAUCAGUCAGUCUAAGCCCAAGCUUUGGGCUUUUAGCAUAGUUCAGCUUUGGACAGUUAUGUAGGAAGCAGAAUCGGCCAUCCUUGAAGCAUUAUCAAGAUCAAAGCCUGGAAGCGUAUGACCCUGGAUACUAGAUUUUGCACUAACAGUAGCUAUGUGAUCUCUGUAUUACCUACU